UACAGAGGGGGCAAGCGUUGUUCGGAAUUACUGGGCGUAAAGGGCGCGUAGGCGGCCUGUUAAGUCAGACGUGAAAUCCCUCGGCUCAACCGGGGAACUGCGUCUGAUACUGGCGGGCUUGAAUUCGGGAGAGGGAUGUGGAAUUCCAGGUGUAGCGGUGAAAUGACGUAGAUAUCUGGAGGAACACCGGUGGCGAAGGCGGCAUCCUGGACCGACAUUGACGCUGAGGCGCGAAAGCCAGGGGAGCAAACGGG
rnacentral:rRNA from 1 species